CCCUGAUUAGUAUAAGUAGUACCCUCGGCUUAGGACCGAAAAGAGGCCCCGCCAUCAGGAU
rnacentral:tRNA from 1 species